GGUACUUCGUCAACAAUUUGUCUGCGUAACAACGCUUCAAGUCGAACAGUCCCAGAAUCGUCUCAAUCCGCGGGAUUUUUUGCUGCGAUCACGCCAUGUGCUCAGUGGGUACUGAAAAUAUGGAGUGAAAGCUCUGAAUUGUUUCGCUAAGAAGAGCAGAUACGAUAUGAAGUGGAAGCUGACACAGGAGCUCGUCUGCACUUCCUUCAAGGAGCUCGGGGCAUGCUGUGUACUCGCUGAAGUCCUCAGCGAGUAAAGACACCUCACCAUUGGCUUCGGACAAGCCGAUGACUACUAUGUCCUCUACCACUGGCCCUUGCUCCAAAACCUUGGAAAUUGCAAAAGAAAAAGUUGCAGCUUGGUCAGGGCCUGGUCCCGCCACAAGGACACCUCAAGGAUCCUGGAGCCGCUUUUGAUCCCCAGAUCCAAGAUGGGGACUUCUGUGUCCCUCACAGUAGUCAUCCUGGGAAACUGCAACUAUAAAGACUCAAGUAGCCCCCUUUUGAAAAUGGUGACUGGGGAUGACUAGGACCUGAGACAGAUGGUGGAAUGAGAGCGUCUCUGGCCAUCUUCUCGGCGUCAAACGUCAGUGUGAGGGGAGCAGUUUUGCAUGUCGUUGUGUUCGGCCCCAUGAACAGACGUUCCUGGCCAUACCUUGAGGACAAGGUGUAGUUUUUGACAUAGUACGUCACACCCUCUUCAAAGGCUGCACUGUCCGAAGAGGACUGUGUGAUGUACACUUUACCACCAGUGGACAGUGCACUAAUAUAGGUGAUAUUUUGAUUCCCAAGCCUUAUUUCUCCAUUCACGACCUGGAAGUUUAGGGUUUUUACAUGUCGAUGGUUUAUGACACAUUUGACCCUGAUGGGACUGGGGCGGCUAUAUGGAGAUGCCAUUCUGACGAGAAAAAACAUGAAAGAAGGUUUUUUUUUUUU